GGUGACCCUGUUUCUAAGGAAGUGACCGUUGGGAAAGAGGACUGUAAUGCAAGAACUGAACGAGCACACGACAGUUGAUAAACCAGAGCAGGUCAAUGAUCUACAGAUUUGAACUGUGCAGUCUAAUGAGAUGACCGACACAACACACAGCAGAACUGCAGGAUGCUUCACCAGACGAACAGACAGUCCCUUCAAUCUCCACUCAAAACCCUCCGUGUUUUGGUCGUCCAUCUUCUCCGAACACACUCUUGUAAAGGUCAGUCCCAGUUAAUUGGUUCAUCUCAGCCAAUAGUGGCAACAGUUGGUGAUGACAUCAUUUUGCCAUGUCAUGUGGAACCUGCCAUGGAUGUUGCUGCCAUGACACUGGAGUGGACCAGAUCUGACUUGGACCCCAUAUUUGUCCAUGUGUGUCGUGCUGGUCAGGAUGUCAUACAUGUUAAACAUCCAUUCUACAGGGGACGAACAUCACUGUUCACUGAUGAGCUGAAGCAGGGAAACAUUUCACUGAAACUCUCUAAAGUGAAACUUUCUGAUGGGGGAAAAUACAAAUGUAACAUUCCAAAACUCAAUAAAUAAUCUUCUGUUGAACUUUUUGUUGGAGCUGAGCGCCCACGGGGGUGGGGUUGGUGAUUGUAGGUGGUGGUUCCUCCUUUUUCCUGUGUGCUGUGUUCAACUGAUAUCCCUGAGUUUGACCCUUCACCAUUGUGUGUGUGUGUGUGUGUGUGUGUGUGUGUGUGGAUGUGUGUGCACGUGUGAUUCGGUGUGACUCUCUUCUGGAUACCUCUCCUACCUCCCCUCUACUGGUAAGCCUCAGCCCUGAAUAAUUCCCCUAUCCCUCUUUUUAAUAUUUGUGUGGUCGGUAUGCUUAAUUAUUGUUUUUUUUACUAAAUUUUGCUAUUGUUAAAAUAAAGAAUUGAUGGUUGGAACCACGUCUCUCACUUCUUGGUGUAACGAACCUGAUUGCCUUUUUGGGUUAUUGGUACUGGUCUGAGGUGACAUUUGUCUCUGGGUAAAACCCCCAGGGUGGCAUAGUUGGAUUCUUGUGAUUACACUGGUUAGUGCCCUUCAUACCUAUUCUCUUGCC